ACUGCUACACCCAGCAGAAGGACACAAUGACAUGAUAUGGAAGCCGGGCCCUGCUCCUGACUAGUUACUCAGUAGUAGUUACUAGUGCAGAUGGACAAGAUGUGAACCAUUUAUCAACUCUCAAAUGUCAAGAGAAAAGGAAUCCUUCCCCUUUCCGGUUAAUAUUCUACCUUAACACUGCUUGGAAUGCAACCAUGGAUUUUGAAGUGUGUGAUGAUGUUUGAG